rnacentral:snRNA from 1 species
GGGUGUGAGGGCUAUCUGACUGUGACAUCUGUCACUCCAUUGAUUGCCAGUAUUGAUUGGACUGAACUGGCUGGCUAGGCGGGUGUCCACUGCCUACUUUACCACUCCAUGUGAGUCCCUCCUGAAGUUGCACUUGGUCAAAAAGGAUGACCUUCCCUCAACAGAGAUGGUAUUCAGUCAAGGGCAUACAAGAAGCUGUGUUCCCCUUCUACAACACCUAAACAAGCUCUCAAGAAUGAAUUAAUUUAACUAGGGAAAGAUAAAAAUAGGCUGGGGUGGUAUGGAUCAACCUGCCAGCAU